GCCAGAUGUGGUGGCAUAUGCCUGUAAUCCCAGCUACUUGGGAAGCUGAGGCAGGAGAAUCGCUUGAAACCGGGAGGCAGAAGUUGCAGUGAGCCGAGACUGCACCACUGCACUCCAGCCUGGGCAACAUUCAUCUCAAAAAAAAAAAGAAAAGAAUACAGGCCUGUAGAAGGAUUGCUUAAGCCCAGGAGUUCUGUAGUGUGUCAUACCAGUAGGGUAUCUGCACUAAUUUGGCAUCAAUAUGGUGACCUCCUGGGAGCAGGGGACCACCAGGUUGCCUAAGGAGUGAUGAACAAGCCCAGGUCAGAAACAGAUCAGGUCAAAACUACUGUGCUGAUCAGUAGUGGACUCACAACUGUGAAUAGCCACUACCCUCCAGCCUGGGCAGCAUAACGAGAGUGUAUUU
rnacentral:SRP_RNA from 1 species